rnacentral:rRNA from 1 species
UACGAAGGGGGCUAGCGUUGCUCGGAAUGACUGGGCGUAAAGGGCGCGUAGGCGGUUUGCCCAGUCAGAUGUGAAAUUCCCGGGCUUAACCUGGGGGCUGCAUUUGAUACGUGUGGGCUUGAGUGAGGAAGAGGGUUGUGGAAUUCCCAGUGUAGAGGUGAAAUUCGUAGAUAUUGGGAAGAACACCGGUGGCGAGGGCGGCUCACUGGCUCGUAACUGACGCUCAUGCACGACAGCGUGGGGAUCAAACAGG